UGGGGAAUAUUGCGCAAUGGGCGAAAGCCUGACGCAGCGACGCCGCGUGGGGGAUGACGGCCUUCGGGUUGUAAACCUCUUUCAGCAGGGACGAAGCGAGAGUGACGGUACCUGCAGAAGAAGCACCGGCCAACUACGUGCCAGCAGCCGCGGUAAUACGUAGGGUGCAAGCGUUGUCCGGAAUUAUUGGGCGUAAAGAGCUCGUAGGCGGUUUGUUGCGUCGGCUGUGAAAUCCCGAGGCUCAACCUCGGGUCUGCAGUCGAUACGAGCAAACUAGAGUGUUGCAGGGGAGAGUGGAAUUCCUGGUGUAGCGGUGAAAUGCGCAGAUAUCAGGAGGAACACCGGUGGCGAAGGCGGGUCUCUGGGCAACAACUGACGCUGAGGAGCGAAAGCGUGGGGAGCGAACAGG
rnacentral:rRNA from 1 species